rnacentral:rRNA from 1 species
CCUACGGGAGGCAGCAGUGAGGAAUAUUGGUCAAUGGCCGAGAGGCUGAACCAGCCAAGUCGCGUGAGGGAAGACGGCCCUACGGGUUGUAAACCUCUUUUGUCGGGGAGCAAAGAGAGUCACGUGUGGCUCAUUGAGUGUACCCGAUGAAUAAGCAUCGGCUAACUCCAUGCCAGCAGCCGCGGUAAUCCGGAGGAUCCGAGCGUUAUCCGGAUUUAUUGGGUUUAAAGGGUGCGUAGGUGGAUUGUUAAGGUAGUUGUGAAAGUUUGCGGCUCAAACGUAAAAUUGCAGUUGAAACUGGCAGUCUUGAGUACAGUAGAGGUGGGCGGAAUUCGUGGUGUAGCGGUGAAAUGCUUAGAUAUCACGAAGAACUCCGAUUGCGAAGGCAGCUCACUGGACUGCAACUGACACUGAGGCUCGAAAGUGUGGGUAUCAAACAGGAUUAGAUACCCGUGUAGUC